GACGAACGCUGGCGGCGUGCCUAAUACAUGCCAGUAGAACGCUGAAGGAGGAGCUUGCUUCUCUGGAUGAGUUGCGAACGGGUGAGUAACGCGUAGGUAACCUGCCUGGUAGCGGGGGAUAACUAUUGGAAACGAUAGCUAAUACCGCAUAAUAGCAGUUGUUGCAUGACAACUGUUUGAAAGGUGCAAUUGCACCACUACCAGAUGGACCUGCGUUGUAUUAGCUAGUUGGUGGGGUAACGGCUCACCAAGGCGACGAUACAUGGCCGACCUGAGAGGGUGAUCGGCCACACUGGGACUGAGACACGGCCCAGACUCCUACGGGAGGCAGCAGUAGGGAAUCUUCGGCAAUGGACGGAAGUCUGACCGAGCAACGCCGCGUGAGUGAAGAAGGUUUUCGGAUCGUAAAGCUCUGUUGUAAGAGAAGAACGAGUGUGAGAGUGGAAAGUUCACACUGUGACGGUAUCUUACCAGAAAGGGACGGCUAACUACGUG
rnacentral:rRNA from 1 species